rnacentral:rRNA from 1 species
GAGAUAAACGCUGAAGGCAUCUAAGCGUGAAACUCCCCCUAAGAUAAGAUCUCCCAUCCUUUAUGGAGUAAGGGUCGAAGAAGACUACUUCGUUGAUAGGCCGGCGGUGUAAGUACAGUAAUGUAUUCAGCCUACCGGUACUAAUAGCCCGAGGGCUUGACCUACA